rnacentral:lncRNA from 13 species
CAUCUGCAUUUGUGUGUUUUUUUUUUUUUUUUUUUUUUAAACGCAAUCCGACUGAUUUUUCUCGCAAGUACUUCUUUACUGCCACUUCGCCGCUGUUUAUCUCAUUAACAUAUAUGUAUAAGUCAUCGAAACUAUAAGCUUCACUAUUUCACUAGAUAAUUGAAAUGAUCAAGAAUGCUCGCCAUCUAUUCUUGUGGCAGGAGAUGCUGCGAUGAUGAUACUGCGUUACCUAAAAUGGUAGAUGCGUAAUCCCGAGUGGGCGCUGACACGAAAUACAGGGGAUAAAAUUUCUCGAACGAGUGAUACACGAUCGAGUCUCGUCGAAAGGGAACUCGACGGAUCGACAGAUCGUUUUAUGACGCGAUCAUCUGUCGAAGAAUAGCGUAAUUUCCAGGAAAGAAUUUUAAAGAAAAAUAGAAUGUCAUGUCGGGGCCAAGAUUUUAUCCGGUAUCAGAUGAAAGAUCAAAGGACUCCAACGUCGAUCGUCCGCACCAACGCUGCGCGAUUUCAAAUUUCUUCAUCAAUGUUUAAUCAGUCGAAAUAAUUAAAUGCAAUCAAGGAGAUGUUAUCUAUAUGAGGAAAUAUGACAAAGCUAGACGAAAAGACUAAAGAAUAAAAACGACAUUUCCAACUAGGUAUACGUUAGAGCUUGAAUUAUUAUACGUACGUACGAGAAUAAUUCGCAGUGUUGCUAUUUUCGGAGAUUUCUCGUGAUCCGUUUCUAGGCUAGUGCAGAACGUAUUCGUUUGUCAUGGAUUUAAGCUGAGAAAUUUCCGCUCUUCAUUCUCGCUGCGCCACGCGCCGUCUCUAUAAUUUCAGCAGCUCAUCCUUGCAUCGCGCAUCGUGUCGAUUUACAGAUGUGCGAAGCAAAGGAGCGUAGGUAUCGUCAGCAUCGUAAUUUGCAUCGCGAUAUCGAAUAUCGAUUGCGUAAUUCAUCACAAUGUAUGUAACGCGACGUCGUCGCUGCCCGGCUGCGAUUGCAAAUCGAUCUCGUGUGGUUAACUCUCAACCAUAUAGGAAGUAAUUAUUGUUAUAUAAUAUAUGUCUACCGGUUGGAGAGCGCAAAUAAGCUCUUAAAUGAUGACAUGGAUCAAGAGAUUAUUUAAUUACACCAAUAAUUUAAUCUUUUAAGAAUUACGAAUGUAAAAGCAAAAGUUAUCUCACGACUACAUUUAAAAAGUAAAGAUAAAAACUGUUAAAUGCUUAGAUAUAUUUUGGAACAUUUUGUGUGUCAAAUGUGUUUCGGAUAUAGGUAAAGUCAAGCUUCCUGUAUCUAAAUAGAGCAAGGUUAAUUGCAAUCUUCCUGUAUGUGACACGCUUUAUGAUGGAACUUGUUGAAUAGACUCGAGCAAAUCACCUUGGUAUUAGGGACAGAUGUUCCAAUAGUUUUUCGAAGGUCGAGGAAAAAACAAGGUUGCGAUAAUAUUUCUACGUGUGUGAAAUUUGUGUAUUACUCGUUAAAAGUAAUUAUAUACAUUCCUAUACACUUUUUUACAUUAAGUAUAGUUGAAAAAAAUUAAGUUUUAUUUUACAACAGUAUCCCUUCUUAUAUAAUAAUAAAAUAUAAAAGAUAAAUGACACCUAUGAAUGUUUUAUAGGUAAGAAAAGAAAUUGCAACUAUUGUGAAAUAAUCUAAUGAAAAGUAUUGUACAUAUAUGUACUCUAUAUUUUUUUAAUUAAUGCAUAUACAUAUGUAAGUUUUAAAAGUUUAAUAUUUAAAUUUAAACAGAGAUAUAAGAAUUAAUCUGUUAGUUUUGUAAUUUGCAUGCAUUGUCAAAGUAAUUAAAUGUACAUCUAUCUGUAAAGAUAUUAAUGAUUUUAAUACAUUUUUUCGUUCUAAACUA